rnacentral:rRNA from 1 species
CCUACGGGUGGCAGCAGUGGGGAAUAUUGCACAAUGGGGGAAACCCUGAUGCAGCGACGCCGCGUGAGUGAAGAAGUAUUUCGGUAUGUAAAGCUCUAUCAGCAGGGAAGAAAAUGACGGUACCUGACUAAGAAGCCCCGGCUAACUACGUGCCAGCAGCCGCGGUAAUACGUAGGGGGCAAGCGUUAUCCGGAUUUACUGGGUGUAAAGGGAGCGUAGACGGCGCUGCAAGUCCGGAGUGAAAGCCCAUGGCUUAACCAUGGUACUGCUCUGGAAACUGUGGAGCUUGAGUGCGGGAGGGGCAGGCGGAAUUCCUAGUGUAGCGGUGAAAUGCGUAGAUAUUAGGAGGAACACCGAUUGCGCAGGCAGCUUGCUAAUCCGCAUCUGACGCUGAUGCACGAAAGCGUGGGUAGCGAACAGGAUUAGAUACCCCAGUAGUC